CCUACGGGAGGCAGCAGUGGGGAAUUUUGGACAAUGGGGGCAACCCUGAUCCAGCCAUGCCGCGUGAGUGAAGAAGGCCUUCGGGUUGUAAAGCUCUUUCGGCCGGGAAGAAAUCGCGCCAGUUAAUACCUGGUGUGGAUGACGGUACCGGAAUAAGAAGCACCGGCUAACUACGUGCCAGCAGCCGCGGUAAUACGUAGGGUGCGAGCGUUAAUCGGAAUUACUGGGCGUAAAGCGUGCGCAGGCGGUUUUGUAAGACAGGCGUGAAAUCCCCGGGCUCAACCUGGGAACUGCGCUUGUGACUGCAUCACUCGAGUACGGCAGAGGGGGGUGGAAUUCCACGUGUAGCAGUGAAAUGCGUAGAGAUGUGGAGGAACACCGAUGGCGAAGGCAGCCCCCUGGGCCGAUACUGACGCUCAUGCACGAAAGCGUGGGUAGCAAACAGGAUUAGAUACCCUGGUAGUCCACGCCCUAAACGAUGUCAACUAGGUGUUGGGUGGGUAAAACCAUUUAGUACCGUAGCUAACGCGUGAAGUUGACCGCCUGGGGAGUACGGCCGCAAGGUUAAAACUCAAAGGAAUUGACGG
rnacentral:rRNA from 1 species